GACGAACGCUGGCGGCGUGCUUAACACAUGCAAGUCGAACGGUAAGGCCCUUCGGGGUACACGAGUGGCGAACGGGUGAGUAACACGUGGGUGAUCUACCCUGCACUUCGGGAUAAGCCUGGGAAACUGGGUCUAAUACCGGAUAGGACCACUGCCUGCAUGGGUGGUGGUGGAAAGCGUUUGCGGUGUGGGAUGGGCCCGGGGCCUAUCAGCUUGUUGGUGGGGUGAUGGCCUACCAAGGCGACGACGGGUAGCCGGCCGGGGAGGGUGACCGGCCACACUGGGACUGAGAUACGGCCCAGACUCCUACGGGAGGCAGCAGUGGGGAAUAUUGCACAAUGGGCGCAAGCCUGAUGCAGCGACGCCGCGUGAGGGAUGACGGCCUUCGGGUUGUAAACCUCUUUCAGCACCGACGAAGCGCAAGUGACGGUAGGUGCAGAAGAAGGACCGGCCAACUACGUGCCAGCCGCCGCCGUAA
rnacentral:rRNA from 1 species